AAUAGAUAAAAACUUAAUAUUUGUAAAAAUUAUGUAUUUAUCACGAUAGCAAGGAGUUAUGAACAUGUUGAUUAUAUGGGGUAGUUAAACUGUGGAUAUUUAUGAGAAGAAUAUUUAGAAACAAUAAUGAGGUAAUAGAUUAUGAUCCUCUUUUAUGAAAUGACCACAAAUUCCAAUAUAAUUGUGUAGCCAAAUCAGCCUGAGAAUCAUACAAAUGAUGAACAAUACCUACCAUACCAUGGUACCCAAAUUACCAAGUCUGUCUAAAACCUUAUGCUUAUAAUUAAACACGUGGUGAAAAUCAAAACAGCCUUUCCAGAACUCUCAACCUCUGUAGGUAAUUACAUGGUUCCAUGAAGGUGUAAUGAGGUUAGAAAGGUGGUAAAACAAGGCAGGAUUCAUAAACCGGUGAUGGAAGUUGCGGUAAUUGCAGGUGGAGUUGGAUUGUACACAAUCUGAUCAUCAGUCCAAUUUGUUUCUCCCCAAUGCUUCAACAUGCCCUUCCAAGAACACACAUUGUCUACACAUCUUUUUAAUCGCCGGUCAUUGAUUUUGAUCUUCCAAUGUCCAUCUGUGAAGUUAGCUUUCUCCGCUUCCCUUCUGUCCCAUUCCAGUUGUGCCUUCUGCUUUGUCCUCA